AAAGAGGUUUGAGACUAUCUGGUCCAUCGCUACCAUGUUCUCAAUCACAACUGUAACCAGAUGUGGAAAUGAGACUGGAAAACUGGGUUUUUCCCCAAUCCAAGCUUGUGUAAUUUCCUCUCCUUCCAUGACAUGCAUUAGACAAGCCAAACACUGAAUGCAAGCAGAUCUAAAAUAAGUUUAAAAAUAAGUUUAAAAGAAACUUAAAAACUUAAAAAUAAGUUUCUAAAAGAAAAUAAGUUUACAAAAAGGCCUUUAGAUCUCUUACCCUUUGCUUGGUUGCAAACAGAGCUUACUUCCAAUAUUCUUGCCCUCUCAUUCCACAUCCACGCAUUUUUGAGCAUUUCCAUGGGUGGUGACUCCACCACUGCUUUGGGCAGCCCCUUUCAGUGCUUUGCAACUCUUGAAUUUUUUUUUUUUUUUUUUAAUCUAAUCUAAACCUCCCCUGGAAAUUUAAAAUAGCAGGACUGAUGUGUUGUUGCCAUUAAAAAUUCUAUAGUUAAAAGCCAUGAGGAGCCCUCCAUAGGGCAGUGCCUGUUCCUCAGACACUACCUAAGUUCAGCAAUCAUCACUUCUAAAAUAUCUUUUCAGGCUAUGAAAUGCUGUUAUUUCCUCACCCAGGGGGAAAGCUCAUGGACAGAAGGAAGGAUGAUGAGGCAUUGCAGGGGUUUAGAAACUUUGGUGGGUUUGGGUGAGGAGAAGGUGUCCAGGAACAUGUUCACUGGAUCUUUAUUUAAUUCCCCAGUUUUGCUUCUGGGGGGCCUGUGGCACAGUAGAGCAGCUCUAGUCUCUUCCUGUUGUUCAACAGAGGUAUUUAGUUUUAAAAUAAGUUUUUGCCUCCUUAAUGUAGACCUUGAAGGGCCUGGAGACCUGGAAAUCUGAAAAAAAUGUCUUACUAUGCUGCAGAUCUCUGACACUGCUGGCCUAGAGAAUGGCUUUCCUAUACAACCCCUAAAUUCUUAACAUUAAAUUAUAGUUGAUCUUACAUAAAGCAUGAGUUCUUUUUUGGACAGCCAUACAGUGCUCAUUAAUUUUGUCUCUGAAUCAAAUCACUUCUUAUCUGUUCCAGAAUCAGCCAAGCUGGUAGUUUUAGAAUACUUGUAGCUGCAAUCAUAUGUUGCCUAUCUUUUAUUUUUUAGGUGAGAGAAGGCAGGGUUUCCUUCUCUCAUUGCAGUUUCUGUGCUUACAGGUAAGUGGGACUCCUGAAAAUGUACUUACAAUCCACACACCUCACUGGUAAAUAAAGAACAGAAGCAACAACAUGGUGUAAUAAAAAAAUCUAAGUUGACUACAUUAUAGGACAUUUUGUGCAUACUUUUGUGUGCAUAUUAAUUUCAUAUUCAGCAGGCUAUCUUUUGACAUGUGUUCUCCUGCUCCAAAAUAAUUCCUUUAAAGUCUGCAUUUCAUUAUUUAGAAAUACAGCUUCACAAUGUUAGAUUGACUCUGAGUUGUUCACUUCUGUUGGUGUAAAUUUGAUUCCUAUUUGUGAUGUGGUCCCUUAUAUAUUUUAAACUUUACUGUUUCUUGCUUAUAGAAAGAAAUGCAGGUAUUUCUAAUAAUCUAAUGAAUGCAAAAUAGCAUCAUAAUUGCUUUUAUCUACUUGGCAGCAUUACUUAGUGAGUAUUGAGUUGUCAUUUGAAUUGUGGCAUUGUCAUCCAUGCCAUGCAAAGAGAACAAAAUUUAAGUUGUUGGGUUCUGGAUUAAGUAAAAAUGUUUAAAAGUCUUGUCUUAAGCUACCACACAGGAAAAUACUGCCUGUAUUACAGGACUCCAGUUGUUUAUUUUUCUCUCUGGAAGGAUAAUCUGCAGAGCAUAGAAGAGCAGGAACAUCAUUUUGGAGGGUGUCUGAAUGCUGGCUGAGCAGGGACCCCCUUCUCUUGGCUUCAGCCAGUGUUACACAUUUGCUGAAAUGCCCCAUUUUGCCAAGGAUGGUUGUCAGUCCUUUAAAUGGAGGUAGGAGACUCAGUCCAUGAUUUGGUGGUUCAGAUAUUCCCUGCUGAGACAACUGGAAACUUGCCUGGUGUGGGAGAGCAGAACUUAAACACUUGGAAAUGCUGAUGGGAGUGUGAGGUAUAUGGAUGAGCUGAAGGACAACUUAUGUACAUAUCUGGGGUGUCUGAAGAUGUCCCUGUGGUCAAACCAUCCCUCCUUCCAUGCUGACCAUGAGCAGCUUGGCACUGCUGAGGCCGACCCCUACAACAAUUGAAGAAGUCCUCUCAGGCUGGUUCCUGAUUUUCCUUUUUUUCCUUACUUUUGGCUCCUUCUGAAAAUUGUGCACUCUAUUCCCUACUGUUUUAGUGAACUCUUUGUCACAUUUCAGUUUUUGGUUUCUUUAAACCCCACAGUUUUAAUAAAUUCUUUAGCUCAAAUGUGUUUACGACUUCAAUGUUCACAUUUUUUUCUUCCUGGCAGGAUGUGUUGCCACCCCCCAUUGUCCUCAAAAACCCAAAGAUAGGUAGGCUGAAGGAAGACUGUGUGUGGUUAAAAUGUCACUGCACUCCCAACUAAUUCUGGCUGCUAGAAUUGUCCCUGGGGGCAGCAGACAGCUGGACAUAAUUUAAAGCAGGCUGAGAUUGAUACUAGAGGCUAGCCCAAAAAGGAGGAAAACAAAAUUGCAGUUUAAUCUCUUCUACUCCGAGAUCUGACCCCCUUUUCCUGUUUCAAACUUUGCUCCCUAGAACAGAAAUGAAGCACGUGGAGAACUUCAUCAACUCGUGUUUGCCAGCUCGGGGGACCAUCGGUGUCAAUUUAAGAUGGUUUCUGUCCCUGAGUGUGGCAUAUCAAGUAACACUGGAGUUGUCUAAACUCAGAGCUGGAAUGGUGGAGAUGCUAUUUUCAUGUUGGACUCACAGGAAUUUUAGAACAUAAAUUAUUUUGAUAACAUGGCAGGCUGCCUUUCUGCCACACUGCCUGCAAGUGUCAAUUUUUUUUUCCAUGUUUCAACUUGGAAGUGACAUAAUGUUGAAGGAUAAACUGUGAAGAAUCAGAGGUCUGAUUUUUUAUUGCCAAUUAAACAUGACAAAUGUUAAACUUCUAUUUGAGGUAAUAUUUUACAAGUUUAUUUAUCUUUAAGGGAAGGUAUCCUGAGUAUAUUGUAUGUGCCAUGAAGUGUUACUGUACUGUAAAUUUGUUUUGAAAGAAGGUCUGUGUUAGGUAAUUACUUUCACUUUUCAUAGAAAGCUGACAUAGAGGUAAAAAUUCACCAUAUCAGUUUCUUAUCACAGGUGUUAAAAUGACAAAAAGUUAAUAAGGACCAAAACAUCAGUAGCAAGGGGCAGAGAACAAAUUCUCUCCUUCUGCUUAAUCCUCCCAUUCAAUCUAAACAUAUAUUUAUUGUUAUUCUCCGUUUCUUGCUUUGCAGUAGAGUUCAUAGGUGACAGAUGAUGCAAACACAGAAUUAGAGAAAACUGACAAAGAAAAGAUAGGAGAGUUGGAUUAGAAAAAUCUAGGAGUAGCAUUUCAGCCUUUAUUUUCAGGUUAUCUCCUGUAUGAGAGAUCUUGCAUGAGUUUUGUUAUGCUGAAGCCUCUGGCUAACUUGAGCAAACCAUUGCUUUAAUUUUUAAAUGUCUAACAAUGCUCUAAGGAUAUUAAAGUAUAACAUUGUUGCCAUUUUUUAUUUUGAUUUUUGCUAAAGAUCAAGCCUGUGGUCUGCAAACAAUUUGUCAAGCAUGCAAUUUGCUUGUCUGCUGCAUUUUAUGGGGAUGUGAUCCUGUAUUUCGUGUGUUUCUGUGGACUCCAGCAGAAAUCUGGAUGCCCAGAUAAGGUGGUGACUAUUCCCACUGGAGUCCUUUGUGAGUAAAAGAAACAUGAGGGAGAGAGUGAGUGAGUGGGAAAGGCAUUUCCCAGAGGUUGUCCAUCUUUUUUGUUGGUACAGUUGUGCAGCCCUAAUAAAUUGGGAAUUGAAGGGCUUUGGAAGGGUGAGGGAUUUUCAGAUCAGCUGAAAAUAACACAAGAAAUGUGGGGGUGAUGGUGUGUGGGAAGGAUGAGCCCAUUUCACUUUCCAUAUGUGGUUCACCACCUCUUGCAUCUCAGGGAAUGAGGAUUUUCCAGGACUGCAAACCUCUCCUAGUGAUACUCUCGGGUGAUGUUGGUUUUAGGCUGCCCUGUGCACAAUGAGAGAAUAUGGUUAAUGGUUGUUUUCUCAGUGUUUUCCAGGCUGUAAGUUUGAGGUCCAUCUUACACAAGUUUACUCACGCUCCCAGAAUAUCUGUUUUUAUGGAUUAACCAUACAGAUAAGAGAUACAGCAGCCCAGAAAACAUUCAUCAGUGUAGAUAUGUGGUUUCUGUAAUACUGGAGUUGUCAUUUCUUCUCCUUUUUCUUCUGGAAAACCAGCAUUGCUGUGCAUAGGAGUUGAAGUCUGAUGCUGUACUAGGUUUCAACCAAUUUGGUUAAAAUGAGAACUUUUUCCCAGAAAUAUAACCCAUCUGAGGAGCAGACAGCCUUUCUGAUAUUCAAAAUCCUAGCUUGAAUAUAUACGGUUGUUCUGAUUAAACUGUGUCAGUGCAGUUCCUUGCUCUGGCUAAGAGGCAACAUAGAAAUGCCAGAAUUCAAAUCCAGUAUCACCCAGAAUAUGUUGGAGACAGCUUUCAACUCUAGUUUUGGCUCCCUGUGAAGCUUUGUGCAAAUCAUUUAAUCGAUUUCUUGGUACACUCUCUGAAAUGAGGAAAAGAUGUGACUCUUGCUCAGGGAAGUGAGAUACCUGUGGCUGAAAGGGAUCAAAAUUCUGGAAAAGGCUGGAAGAUGAUACCAUGAAAAGCUGGCACAGAAACGCCCAUAACCCUUCAUUUCAACAGAAAAGGUGGAAUGGCAAGACCUCUGUGUGGGGCUUAUUUGGUGGAUGUUUUGGGCUCUAUCCAUGGACAUCUGUGGCUACCCCCCCAUGGAAAUUGACUGCACUUCAAGCCAUAUGUGAGGGCACUGUGGAGCUGCCAUCCCUGGAUCCUUGUCCGGGGAACGCCACUGAGGAUUUGGCAGCAGAAAAUACCAUAAACCUGUGAGAUUGGGAAUGCACCAUGGAAACAAACAGCACCCUGGCAAAAUAAAGAGAUGUUUCCUCAAUGGAUCGCCAUUAAAAAGCUCAGCAGAGCUUCUGAACCCUGCAUGAAGGGAUACUCCAAACUUCUCAAAGAAAAAUGCACAGCGAAGUGGGGUAUUAAACGGUAUCACCGUGCUUUGCUAUAAAACAUAGAAGGCUUUUACGAGAGCCGAAGUGGUAAGUUGUUGAUCCAUUGUGUUGGAAUUGGAUGAAACGAAUUCCUCUGGGAGAUAAGGAAAAGGAUCUAGAAAUGUAGUGCUGCCCUCCAGUGGCGGCAUGAGGGGGUUUGUCUCCAGUGCUCGCAGGAUCUUGGCUGGAAGGCAAACAGAAACGUGCAAGUAUUUCCGAAAGGACUGGGUAGUUACAGUUCAAAUGUUAGGGCAGCAGUGGAGAAGAGGGGAUGUGAGACACAGCCAAACUUACCCUAGUCUGGAACUGCUGAAUUGGUGAUUUGUCCAAGGUU